GACGAACGCUGGCGGCGUGCUUAACACAUGCAAGUCGAACGGAAAGGCCCUGCUUUUGUGGGGUGCCCGAGUGGCGAACGGGUGAGUAACACGUGAGUAACCUGCCCUUGACUUUGGGAUAACUUCAGGAAACUGGGGCUAAUACCGGAUAGGAGCUCCUGCUGCAUGGUGGGGGUUGGAAAGUUUCGGCGGUUGGGGAUGGACUCGCGGCUUAUCAGCUUGUUGGUGGGGCAGUGGCUUACCGAGGCUGUGACGGGUAGCCGGCCUGGGAGGGUGACCGGCGACAUUGGGCCUGAGGUACGGCCCAGACUCCUACGGGGGGCAGCGGUGGGAAAUCUUGCCCAAUGGGCGGAAGCCUGAUGCGGCAGCGCCGCGUGCGGGAUGACGGCCUUCGGGUUGUAAACCGCCGUCGCCUGUGACGAAGCGUGUGUGACGGUAAUGGGUAAAGAAGCACCGGCUAACUACGUG
rnacentral:rRNA from 1 species